rnacentral:rRNA from 1 species
GACGAACGCUGGCGGCGUGCUUAACACAUGCAAGUCGAACGCUGAAGCUUGGUGCUUGCACUGGGUGGAUGAGUGGCGAACGGGUGAGUAAUACGUGAGUAACCUGCCCUUGACUCUGGGAUAAGCCCGGGAAACUGGGUCUAAUACUGGAUACGACAUGUCACCGCAUGGUGGUGUGUGGAAAGGGUUUUACUGGUCUUGGAUGGGCUCACGGCCUAUCAGCUUGUUGGUGGGGUAAUGGCUCACCAAGGCGACGACGGGUAGCCGGCCUGAGAGGGUGACCGGCCACACUGGGACUGAGACACGGCCCAGACUCCUACGGGAGGCAGCAGUGGGGAAUAUUGCACAAUGGGCGGAAGCCUGAUGCAGCGACGCCGCGUGAGGGAUGACGGCCUUCGGGUUGUAAACCUCUUUCAGCACGGAAGAAGCGAAAGUGACGGUACGUGCAGAAGAAGCGCCGGCUAACUACGUG